AGUGAACGCUGGCGGUAGGCCUAACACAUGCAAGUCGAACGGCAGCACAGGAGAGCUUGCUCUCUGGGUGGCGAGUGGCGGACGGGUGAGGAAUACAUCGGAAUCUACUUUUUCGUGGGGGAUAACGUAGGGAAACUUACGCUAAUACCGCAUACGACCUACGGGUGAAAGCAGGGGACCUUCGGGCCUUGCGCGGAUAGAUGAGCCGAUGUCGGAUUAGCUAGUUGGCGGGGUAAAGGCCCACCAAGGCGACGAUCCGUAGCUGGUCUGAGAGGAUGAUCAGCCACACUGGAACUGAGACACGGUCCAGACUCCUACGGGAGGCAGCAGUGGGGAAUAUUGGACAAUGGGCGCAAGCCUGAUCCAGCCAUACCGCGUGGGUGAAGAAGGCCUUCGGGUUGUAAAGCCCUUUUGUUGGGAAAGAAAAGCAGCCAGUUAAUACCUGGUUGUUCUGACGGUACCCAAAGAAUAAGCACCGGCUAACUUCGUGCCAGCCGCCGCAGUAA
rnacentral:rRNA from 1 species